AAAAAAUAUGCAUUUCCUCAAGUUUUUCCCCCUUUUUGUCUUCCUUUAUUUUGGUCAAUACUAUUUAUAUGUCACUCAUGCUGCCACUUUUGACAUUACCAAUCGGUGCACCUACCCAGUCUGGGCCGCUGCCUCUCCUGGGGAGGCAGACAACUCGACUCGGGCCAAACUUGGAACCUUAAUGUGAACCCAGGAACAAUCCAGGCUAGCAUUUGGGGCUGAACCAAUUGUAACUUUGAUGGUAAUGGCCGAGGCAAAUGUGUCACGUCCCGAGACUACCCCCGAGACGCGGACACAGGACCUAGGACCACAAGUGAUCCCAAGCUAACCCUGCUGGCAUGAUCAUGAGCAUACUAAAGAUAAUAAACUGAAGCGGAAGCUAAAUCAUAAAUAAAAUAAAAGAUGGGGAAUACCCAUAUAUUAUAACUGAGAUAAAUGAAAACUGAUGAGUUUAAUACAAGGAAUAUAUUAACUCAAUGCUAAGCUGAAUCUAACUAUGUUUGAAAUAAGCCUCUAAACUGACUAGAAAUGUUGGGACAUGCCCUAACUAGAUCUAGCAAAACUGAAACUAAAAGACUGAAAGCGAUAAAGAUAAACAUGUCACUAGUUCUUGAAGAAUGAGAACUCACCACUGAUGCUGCUGAAUUGAAGAUCGAGAAUUGAUCUAAGCGUGAUCUGGAUGCUGAGAACCUGAACCUACAUCAUGAGAAGAUGUAGCGCACGUAUGCGUCAGUACUUAAAAGGUACUGAGCAUGCAGGAUAGAGUAAAGCUGAAAUAACAUCAUAACUGAACAAAGCAAAUAAGUAAUGACAUAAUCUGAGCAUGAUAUAAAUACUGAAUGCUGAGAUAACUGAAUGCAGUGACCAAUUUAUAACAUGCCGACUAAAUACUGAAUGAACUGUAAAUGUGGUCAAUGCAAUAGAGUCUGACUGAACUAUGGGAGCUACUAAUAACCGACAAUAAAACCACAUGAGCUAAAUGUGGAGUCCGAUGUAUACACCCCAUCGAGAGAACCCAAUAUACCCGGCCAAAGGUAUAGAGGCAUGACUGGCGUGAUCACUAACUGAUAUUUCCCACAGAGGGACUUACACCUACGUGGCUCGUAGUUCUGGGAUAUAUGGGUACGCUGAACCCUACUCCAACUCGGUAUUAUGCUACUCCCAAUGAAUUUAGUGGUUAACUAGUUAUGACUGAAUUUCUGUAAAUACUAGAUAGCUCAAAACUGAACAUGCAAACUGAGAAUGCAACAAUUAAUCUGAUAAUGAUGCAUUCAUAAACUGAGGUAUGUAUAACUGAAUACAUUAUGACUGAAAUGCUGAAUAGCUCAAAAUACUGACAUGUAGAUACUCAUACUUGAAAACUCCUUCUUAGAAAACAAUUCAAAAUCAUAUUAUACUAUGAUCAUUGAUGACUUGGGAAGUCAUACUGCAUAAACAUUGAUGGUAUAUCUAGAUACCAUAUUGUUCAUACAUUAAUGACCUACUCGAUUGUCAUACUAAUCAUGUUUGAGAAGCUCUUUCUCAAAACUCAUCUUAACUUUCUCAAAAACACAAUUUAAAACUCAAGUGUUGUCUUAAAAGAAGCUUCUCAAGAUGUACAACUCAAAAUAAGGUUUAUGUUGAAAUAUACUGAUAAUGUGGCGUUCAAAACUGGAGCAUGUAUAUCUGAAUAACUGAAAUAUCUGACCUAGCAUGUGUAAUUCAAGAACUAAAGAAAUACAUAGCUAGGGUUAUGGAAUUCAUGCAAUAAACUGAGCAAUAACAAGAUAAUCUGAUUUGGAACAUUUAAAUAACUAGUUUAUGAUGAUCUGUUGAAGUUCUAGAAACCUUAGGUCUGUUCAUAAUCAUGGAAUCAAGAAUCUGACUGAUUUCUAGGGACCUAAUGGGCGAAAGGAACCCACUAGUGAAAUCCCACAUACCUGGUGAUGAAUUCCACGGAGAAAUCUUUAAAUUUAGGGGUUGGAACUGAUGGAACCUUGUUGCAUUCUUGAACUAGGGUUCUUGACCUCUUUUCUCCUCUUAGCGUUCUAAUUCUUCUAAGUUUGAUUAAUGAUUUGACUUAGGUAAGUUCUAGUUAUGUUUCUAGGCUUAAACUGACUAAAACCUCAUGAUUUAGGGUCUAAACGACGUAUCUUAGGGGUUAAACGAAUAGCAAAAGACCAAAAGACCCCUGAAUUAAAUGUUGUCGGAGUGACUGACGGACGGGACUGACGGGCCGUCAUUCAAUCUACGGUCCGUAGAUUGAGAUUGUCGGUUAAGUCUGCCCGACAAUGCUUCACUAAAACGAGCAUAACUUUUUACUCGGAGGUCGGAUUUUAGCAAACUCGGUGGCGUUGGAAAGAGAAUUCAAUUAUCUAUCAUAUCAUAGGUCAUAGGACACAUAAUUCCUUUUGUGCUAAGAGUUAUGACCAUUUGAAGUUGACCACCCAACAAUUCUCCCCUAACUGACUGUUGACCCUCAUCUAAGGUCAGACCUACAGACCGUGGAUCGAACGACGGUCCGUGCUGGUCGACUGUAGUUUGUGUCAGAGGCUGGGUAAAAGAGUCUUGAUCCACGAACACAGACCACAGACCGUGGUCUGACCUACGACUAUGGGUCUGUCCGUGAGUCAAGACUUAGCCAAUUUUCUGAGCUGGGUUUUGGGAGGGGUUGCAGUGGUGAACCACGGACCACCAGCACGGGCCGUGGUCUGACCUACGGUCCGUGGAUGGCAACCGUGGGUUGCACCUGCAACUUCUCAAAAUUUGCAUUUUUGGUCUGUUUAGGAUACGGGGUGUUACAAAAUGCGAGACUGAAGAUUGUAAUGGGCUGCUAGAAUGUCAAGGGUAUGGUAAUCCACCCAACACUUUAGCCGAAUUUGCACUUAAUCAGCCCAAUAACUUACACUUCGUCGAUAUUUCUCUAGUCGCCUAUCGAAUUCAGCCCAAUCAAUGGUGGGGGUCGUAAUCUCUUAAGCAACACACCUAUUAACGACCAAUGUCCAAACGAAUUACGGACACCGGGUGGGUGUAAACCCCGUGCACGGUUUUCAAGACGAACGGAUUUUGUUGUACAAAUGGGCCAGGGUCAUGUGGUCCUACUGAUUUUUCAAAAUUUUUCAAACAAAGAUGCCCAAAUGCUUAUAGUUAUCCACAAGAUGAUCCAACAAGUUUGUUUACAUGUCCUGCUGGUACAAAUUACAAGGUUGUCUUCUGCCCUUGAAGGCUACAAAUUUGAAUUAGAACUAUGGUACUAAGAACUAUAUAUUAUAUUGAAUAAAAAAAGAGUGACAAAGAGGAGAGUGCUGGUGAGUUACGUUGUCUAGUUCAAGUUGUUGCAUUCAUCUGCAAUUGAUUUUAUGUAAUAAAGAAUAUAUAUAUAUAUAUAUAUAUAUAUAUAUGUUGAAUUAUUAAUAGAAUUAAGAUUCAGCUAGAGUUCGAACUCAAUAACUUUUGAUCCAUAUCUCUUGUAUUUGUCUUGAUUAAUCCAUUGGAUAUAUAAAUGCUAUUAAUUUAGAAUUCAGUAAUUUGAAAGAACUAAAAUCCAAAAUUCUUAAACUUUAACUUCUGGUUCUACAUCCAUCUAAUGAUGAAAUUAAUGAAAAAAAUGAAACGAUUGAGUUGUAUAAGAGAAUUGUCGGAUCACCAUUCAACUAAAGCAAACUUCCGACCAACAAGCGUUAUGGUGGAUUGAUAAGUACUCAUUCAUCCUUAAACAAGAGGUCUUGGGUUAGAGUCCCCUUGAGUACAGAGUCAUGCCUUUGCUAGGGAGUGCUUUACCCCUCAAUGUGAGACUUUUCGGUGCGAAUCCGAAUUACGGCCCAAAUUUGCAACUUGACACGAUCACAAGAUUCAAAGGCGUUAAGUUAUAUUACAACUUAAGAUCUAUAAUAAUAUUAUGUUAAUUGUUCGUAUUUCAUUCAUUACAAGAAUUAGACCCAAAUUUGCAACUUGACACGAUCACAAGAUUCAAAGGCGUUGAGUUAUAUUAAAACUUACAAUCCAUAUAUGAUCAUAUUAGGUUAACUGUUCGUAUUUCAUUCAUUUCAUCAGUAUUUUGUCAGGUGUACUUGUAAUUGUGAUUCAUUCCCUUUCCUUAUUUAUUUAAUAAUAGAGUUGACUAUCUUUCUGACAUCAAUUGUACAAGUUCAUGAAAAGGGCUGAAGUCUGGACGAGUGGAAUGAGGGAAAGCAACUUCAAAAUUCAUUUGUUGAGAAAAAUAUUACAUUAUUGAUAUUGGAUUGGAAUUACAAAGUAGUAAAUAACUUAUUACAAACAUUGUGUCGUGGCAAGUCAUUGCCUUGAAAGCGAUUUCGGCCCGACUCCGAUGCAAAUCGUUGUAGCCGGUCGCUCCCAAAGGUUCCACAGUUACUCUCAAAUACGUGUACUCCUGGCUGAAAGUUUGGAGGUUGCCCAAAAAAUAUUCAAAGAAUUAGCUAAGAAGAAAGAGGGAAAAAGUUUUUCUCUUCUUUUUGUUGGUAGUGUGGUGUAUCUAUUUUCACCAAAGUCACUUCUUAUAUAUGAUCGCAAGAGGAGUUGCAAAUAGGAGAGUUAUUUUUUUUUUAGAAACGGAUUGUCAAGGUUAAUGACAUUAAAGGCCAUUACAUCACUUUUGUUUUUGGAAUGGAGGUAUCUUCACCUUUGAAACGUAUUUUGGAUAUGUGUCUUUGCAUUAAACUUAAUUAAUAAAAUUAGAAUAAUUAACUCAACAAAAGAAGGCAAAAUUUAAAAAAUUUAUUCGUGCCAAAUACGUCUAUCUACUUGACCCGUAAGUUAAGCCAUCACUAAUUGAAAUUUUCUAAUCCAUUCUAAUUUUAUAAUUAUAUUUUUUUUAAAAAAAAAAACAUAUAUAAGAGUAUGUUUGUUUGUAAAAUUUAUUCCUUAGGUAAAACAGUGACAUAAAAAAUAUAAACAAACAGAAAUACAGAAUAGUAAGUACUGUUUCCAUGAUUCUGUUUAAUAAAAUUGAGGUAAUGGUAUUGCAAGUGGAAGAUGUUAAAGGCUCAUUUCGUGCAAGUGAUAAAAAAUAACUAAUUUUGAGAGUAAUUUUAAAAUAUAUUUAUUUCAUGUUCGAUUGGGAUAAAAUCAAAGCUGGGAUAACCUAGUUGAUUUAAUAUAUAUGUGUGUGUUCACAAAUGUAAGCGAAGGAUGUGAGAUUAUAUUCAAGUGAACACUAUUAUGUGUCACGACCCAAAAAUGGACGUGAUGACACUCGUCUUAUCCCACCAAGACAAGUCAGCCUAAAACUCAACCAUUACAAUAAAAUGCGGAAAUUUCCUAAUCAACUCAAAAAUAUCCCCAAAAUCUGGUUGUCACGUGUACAAGCCUCUAAAGUAUUACAAUUGAUUCAAAAGAAAAACACCAGUCUCAAAUGACCUUGUUUCUAGAAUAGAACAAAAUCAUAAAUAGGAGUAGGAAGGCCUACUGAGAUGAUAAACAACUACCUCACAAAUCUCCAAGAAGCCUCGGAAAAGAAGAGAAUGACAAGUAUCACAAAAUCCAGGCUCGUAACCUACAAAAAUUGUAGAAGCAAGGGGUGAGUACCAAACCACACGGUACUCAACAAGUAAACCUCUAAACACAAGCUAAGGGGAUAGAAUACGGGUACUCCUUGCACACCAACCGAACCUCCACAACUACAACCUGUAUAAAACCAGCCCAACCUAAUAGUUCAUAAUUCACAUAGCACACAACUCGACAACAACACUCUAACAAUCACAUAUUCUCAACAACAAGCUCAAUAUUCAUCAAUCAAAGUUCCACAGAAAGGCACUCAUAAGAUCAGUAAAACACAAUAUCAAGUUCACUAAUGAUAAAUAUGUGCAAUGCAAUUGAAUGCAAUGUCAAGUAUAGUGAUGCAUGUCUGACCUAAUGAUACACACCCGCUGUCUCUCAGUCCGGGACCCAUGGGGGACAUAUCUGUCCACGCAUCCAUCGCGGCGCGCGGUACGACCCUCGAUAAUAGUAAUCAUCACGGUGCGCGAUACGUCCCUCGAAAUAUAGUAUCCAUCGCGGCGCGUGAUACGUCCCUCGAAAUGGUACAUCCUCUUUAAUUUCUUAUUCUUUCUCAAUUCACAUAACAUUUGUCACAAUCAUGUCUCAGAACAAUGCAAAUGACAUGUUCACACAAAUAAUGAGGAAAUGACCAUUUUCAUAACAUUACACAAUUCACAACAACACAAUCAUGAUACAACAUCAACAAUGAUUCAACAAGCCUUUCAAACCAUUCUCAACACAUCACACACAAACAAUUAAUCACAUUGCCUUUUAUUACCCCUUUUUCAUCAUUAGAAUUAAUCAACAUGGACAAGUCAACCCAUCACCAAGUCCCAUUACUCCCCAACACAUACCACAAGGAAAUACACGAAUUCCAUACACUUAACAAGAGUUUAGAAAUCCACUUGCCUCAAAUAAUCGAACAAUCACUCCGAAACUUGUGCCUUCCCUUUUUGUUGAGCUUCCAAAUCAAUGCAAUCUAUUCAAGUACAUAUUCACAAUAAGAUUCUGAAACUAACAACACCCAUAUUACUAUAGAUUUAGCGUAGACCCAAAAGAUCACCUAAAUCUAUAAUCAAGUUCCUAAGUUUCAAGUUUAGGGUUAAGUUCCAAUUCUUUUCCAAUAUCAUAAAUAUAAUAAUAUUAAUUAAAAAGGAAGCCAACUGGUUCUGAACCAGUGGCGGCAACAUGCCAAUUCUCUUAAUACCUGCACCCAAACUAAUAACCUAUCCAUCCAAAGUAUAAAUUAAGCAUUUCCAAUUUCAAUUUAUUAUUCACUACGGAAAGAAUGAAUUGAAAUUAAUGCCAACCUCCAGAUCUUGUUCCCCCCAAAACUUCCAACCAAUAUAAUCCUUCCAAUUUCUAAUGAUUAAUUAAUCAUAUAUCAAUUAUUGUCAUAAUUAUCCAAUAUGAGUAUUAAAAGCUUAUGCAUUUACUGACGGACUACAAACAGCGAAAAAAAUAUAUAUAUGCCAUUCACAGAUUUUGUCAAAAUCUGACCCUUUCCCCCCUCAACUCCACGUUACCAUAAAUUAACAAUAACCAGUCAUCUGUGUAUCCAUAAAAUAAUAAGAAUUAAGGUUGUGAUUAUAUGAAAGAUUGCAAAAAUAUAUAAAAGAGAUGUGAUGAAUGUUUCAUAUAUUUAUCCCUCUGUUUAACACAUGUAUAUAUAGCAAAACUUAAAAUAAUAAACUACCCAACUAUCCUAUAUAUUAGCAACCUUAAACAACAUACUAGUCCUAUAUACUAGCUACCUUAAACAACAUAUCUGUAGUUACACGAAGUAAAAGUCGAAAGAAUCACAAACUACCCAACUAUCUCCUAAUUGUUAGUUACCUUAAAUAACAAACUACUAUUUACAUGGAAGUAAAAAUAAAAAUAAGGAAUCUGUAAUUUCCAAAUGGCAAAACAAAACUAAAACUUAAAAAAAAGAAAAGAAAAGCUGGUGUGAUUCUACUAUGUUAGUAAACUUUGUGUCGUCUAAAAACAUAGUCCCUUUUAACCUUUUUCAUUCUUGUUUGCCACAAAAUCAUCAUCCUCGAGCUUCUUCAUCGAUGAGUCUUUAAUAAAUCCAACCCCCCCCCCCCCCUCAAGUUGGACGGAGAGGAACGAACACCUAACUUGUUCAAUAGGAAAUGAUGAGAAGUACAAGGUAAGGGCUUAGUAAACAAAUCUGCUACUUGGGAUGAAGAUGGAAGAAAAGAAAGAGAAAUCAAACCAGUGAGGUAUUGUUGACGAACGAAGUGACAAUCUAGGUCAACAUGUUUCGUCCGCUCAUGAAAGAUAGGAUUUUUAGCAAUAUGAAUUGUUGUUUGGCUGUCUGAAUGGAGAGAAAUUGGUAGUGCAGGAGGUAGAGACAGGUCGGAAAGGAGACAAACUAACCACGUCAGCUCAGCAACAACCCUUCUCAUUGAUUUGUACUCGGCUUCAGCGGAUGAAAGGGAAAGAGAAGGUUGUUUCUUUGAUUUCCAUGAAAUAGGACUGCCUCCAAGACAAAUAAAAAACCCACUAACAGAUCGUCUAGAAUCUAAGCAAGUAGCCUAAUCAGAAUCGCAAAAAGCGAGAGAGUUAAAGAAGGAGAGGAAUUGAGAAAAAUCCUUAAACCAGGAUCAGAAAGAAGAUAUCGAAGAACAUGGUGUGCAGCUGCAAAGUGUGCUUGAUGUGGAGACUACAUAUAUUGGCUAAGGUGCUGGAUCGAAAAAGAUAUAUCAGGCCUUGUAUGAGUUAAAAAAUUUAAUUGUCCAAUGAGCCGUCUAUAAACAGUGGGAUCCGGAAGAGGAGAACCCAUAUUUGCUUGCAAUCUUAGAGUGGGAUCCAGAGGAGAAGAGGCAUGUUUGAAUCCAAGGCAAUCAUAUUCAGAUAAUAGUUCCAGAAUGAACUUUCUUUGAGUUAGGAUCAAACCGUGUGGUUCUCGGAUGACUUCAAUGCCCAAAAAAUAGUGUAAAUCACCUAGAUCCUUGAUCUUAAAUUCUGAAUUAAGGAAAGAUUUCAAUGCUUCUAGUUCUGCCAUAUCAUUACUUGUGAGGAAAAUAUCAUCCACAUAUACGGCUAAUAUAGAUAUAGAGCUACCAGUGCAUUUAUAAAAGAGGGAAUAAUCAUUCAAUGAGUGUUGAAAACCUUUGAAACUCAAUGCAACAGUCAACCUUGUGUAUCAUUGUCGCGAGGCUUGUUUAAGGCCAUAUAAAGAUUUCUUUAGACGACAAACUUGAGUAGGAUCAGAAACCUUCAAACCUGCCGGGAACUUCAUAUAAACUUCUUCAUCCAACCCGCCAUGUAAAAAAGCGUUAUUUACAUCUAAUUGGUAAAGACCCCACCCUUUCUUAAUAGCGAUUGCCAAAACACACCUUAUGGUACUAAUCUUCACAACUGGACUGAAAGUUUCAGUAAAAUCAACACCUUCCUUUGGAACAUCACCCCUAACAACCAACCGAGCUUUAAGUCUCUCCACAGAACCGUUAGAGUUGAGUUUUACGUUGUAAACCCAUUUAUUGGGUAAAGCCUUCUUUCCCAGGGGCAAUGAUACGACUUCCCAGGUGUCAUUGGUGAUAAGAGCGUCUAAUUCUCUUGUCAUAGCCUCCUGUCAAUCUGAAUAUAAAAUGGCUUGGGAAAAACUGGUAGGUUCUUUAAUUUGUGAAAGAGAAUUGAUAUAUUGUUGAUUAGACGUGGACAAAACAUUAAAAGAAAAUGAUGUAACAGAGAUAGGAGAAGAUAAACAAGUAUCAGACACAUUACAAAAGUGUACACUAUUACAAAUGUAAUCUUCUAAAUAUGCAGGGGUCUUGAUUGAUAGGAGAGAUAGAAACCGAAGGUUGUGAAGGGAGAGUGGGUAUGGAAGGUACAUGAGAAAGUUGAUUAUGAGGAAACAAAAAAAUAGGGGAAGGAAAUGAUGUAACAUGAUAAUCAGUAUCAGGUGUAAUUAGUGAAUCUGUAAGAGGAAAAACAGAAACAUGAGGCUGAAUAGAAGAAAAAGGGUAUAUAUCUUCAUAGAAAACAACAUUUUUGGAAACAAAGCACUUUUGAGAAUGUAAACUAAGUAACUUAUACCCUUUUUUUCCAAAAAGAUAGCCAAGAAAUACACAAGGUUCAGCUCUAGGAUCCAAUUUAGAUCUACCCUGGGAAAGAGUAGAGGCAAAACCAAGACAACCAAAACAUUUCAGGUUGGAGUAGUUUGGAGGAUGACCAAAGAGUUUCUCAUAUGGUGUUUGAAAAGAUAAUAGUUUAGUCAGACAUCUAUUGAUUAAAUAAGUGGUUGUCAUAAGACAAUCCCCCCAAAAUUUCGAUGGAAGAUGAGAUUGAAAAAGCAAAGCUCUACAAACUUCCAAAAGAUGCCCAUGUUUCCUUUCAACCACACCAUUUUGUUGUGGUGUGGCAACACAAGAAGUGUGAUGAAUGAUGCCUUGUGUAGACAAAAAAUUAGAGGUUUCUAAACUUGAACCUAAUUCCCAAGCGUUAUCGGACCGAAUGACCUUAACAUUUUGUUGUGGUGUGGCAACACAAGAAGUGUGAUGAAUGAUGCCUUGUGUAGACAAAAAAUUAGAGGUUUCUAAACUUGAACCUAAUUCCCAAGCGUUAUCAGACCGAAUGACCUUAACUUUCUUAUUGAAUUGCCUUUCUAUCAUUGCAGGAAAAGAUUUGAGAAUAGAAAAAGCAUUACUUUUAGUGGUUAAUAAAAACGUCCAAGUUCCUCUACUAAAAUCAUCCACUAUGGUUAAAAAAUACUUAUAACCAUCAGAAGUAGGAGUUUGAUAAGGCCCCCAAGUAUCAAUGUGGAUUAAAUCAAAAAUCUGUCGAGACGAAAUAUGACUAAUAGGAAAAGGAAGUUUGUAUUGCUUUGCUAAUGGACAAAUAGAACAAGGAACAGAAAAUUUCGAACAAACUGAAAUAGGAAUGCCAUUGAUAUUCUGUAUAUUUGAUGCAGGCAUACGCCCCAACCUUACAUGCCAUAACUUGCUUUGAAUAACAGAAAGAGAAAUACAUGACAAACUGGAUUUAUCAUCCUUUAGGGAAUCUAAACUAGAGCUAGACUUAAAGCAGGAAUUGACAGAAUAAGAAGCAACUGGAGGCCUAUUCUUGAAGAUGUAGAGACCAUUCUGGCUUUCACCAAGGAGCAUUGGGCUCUUCAUUGAAGGGCCCUGCCUGAAACAAUAAGAAGGUGUGAAGAAUAAUAUAUUAGAAAGUUGUCGACACAACUGGUGUACAGACAAUAAAUUGAAAUGGAAACUAGGCACAUACAAAACAUUAUGAGUGGUGAAAUUUGAGAAUAGUUGGACAAAUCCUGAAUGAGAAACCUUAACUUUUUGUGAAUUAGGAAGCCUUACAAAAGUAAUCCUAGGCAAUGGUUUAAGAUCAAGAAAAAAUAUUUAUUGUAACUCAUAUGCUCAGUUGCACCUGAGUCUAUUAUCCUCGUCUCGUUAGUGAACGUUUUACCAUCAAUAGUGGAAUUUAGAGAGAAAUGAUUAGGGCUUAAAGGAAUACCAGCACAAUUGAUAGAAGCUAUGACAUCAAAAUUAUUGGCUUGAUCCUUAGUUUUCACCUGUUAAAGCAUCUGCAUGACCUAUGCCAAUUGCACCUGUGUGAGGAGUUUCUCAUGCUCUUCUGAUUCUACGCUAGUCAGGAAAGAAUCCCCAGAAAAUUCAUUAGAAAUCACAACAUUACUCUUAACAGAAUUGUGAAAUUUUUUUGACUUAGUAAAUGUAAAAUCAGCUGGAAAUCCAUGUAUCUUAUAACAUUUUUCAAUGCUAUGUCCUGUUUUCUUGCAAUAUCUGCAAACAAGAUUAGACUUCUUGUUAUCAUAAGUCCCUUUUUGUCCCUUGAAAUCAGUAGAAAAUGAUCGUGGACCAUUGUUAGCAAUGAAUGAAGAAGAUUCACCAGGAAACUUUAGUGUAUUCUGGACCUCCCUUUGCUUCUCCUCUUGCAUCAACAAUGCAUAAGCAUUUGGGAUAGAAGGGAGUGGUGAAAUCAUGAGAAUAUUACCUCUAGGUGCACAAUAAGAGUCAUUAAGUCCCAUUAAAAAUCGAACCAAGCGUUCAUCUUGCUUGGACUUAAUGUUCUUUUCCUUUGCUCCGCAAGAACAAGAACAAGAACAAUUACAUGGAAUGAAGAAAUCCAAAGCAUCCAAUUCAUCCCAAAGACGUUUCAUCUUUGUGUAAUAAGUUGCAAUAUAAGAGGAGCCCUGAACAAGGUCACUUAGUUCCUUUUGAAGCUAGAAAACCUUAGCACCUGAACUUUGUCCAAACCUAGCUUUUAAUUCUGCCCACAACUCUUUAGCGGUGGAAGAGUAUAGAACACUUUCAGAAUUUUCUCUAGAAAGAGAGUUCAAAAGCCAGGAAAUUACCAUGUUGUUUGCUCUCAACCAGGCAUUGUGCAGGUCUGUACCAACAACAGGUUCAUGAGUUGAUCCGUCAAUAAAACCCGACUUGUUUUUCGCAGUCAAGGCUAUGUGCAUGCCCCUCUUCCAUCCCCCAAAACCUUUGCCAUCAAAAGCCGUAUUAACUAACAACAUACCAGGAGAAUCGGAAUGAGAAAUACAAAAGGAUGAGAAGAGUUUAUGAGCAGAGUGGCCGCAUUAGUUCCAGCAAGAAUGGGAACUUGAGUCUCAGAAGAUGUGGGGACAUGAUCUCCCAUUGCAACAAAUUAAGAGCAGGAAUAAAACUGAAAAUACGAGGAAAGAUUUAAAACUUGAGCUCUGAUACCAUGAAAGAUUGCAAAAAUAUAUAAAAGAGAUGUGAUGAAUGUUUCAUAUAUUAAUCCUUUUGUUUAACACAUGUAUAUAUAGCAAAACUUGAAAUAAUAAACUACCCAACUAUCCUAUAUAUUAGCAACCUUAAACAGCAUACUAGUCCUAUAUACUAGCUACCUUAAACAGCAUAUCUGUAGUUACACGAAGUAAAAGUGGAAAAAACCACAAACUACCCAACUAUCUCCUAAUUGUUAGUUACCUUAAAUAACAAACUACUAUUUACAUGGAAGUAAAAAUAAAAAUAAGGAAUCUGUAAUUUCCAGAUGGAAAAACAAAACUACAACUUAAAAAAAAGAAAAAGAAAAGCUGGUGUGAUUCUACUAUGUUAGUAAACUUUGUGUCGUCUAAAAACAUAGUCCCUUUUAACCUUUUUCAUUCUUCUUUGCCACAAAAUCAUCAUCCUCGAGCUUCUUCAUCGAUGAGUCUUUAAUAAAUCCAACAUUAUACCUUAUAUUUGCUUUCCAUCGAGUUUUUACAGAGAUGCUACGGCUGAUUUUGAGUUUGACUCAGAACAUCCAUCCUCAGUUAAGUUAAUUUGUAUGGGCCAAGUGGUAUGGGGUUUUAACUUAAAAUAUAUUAUAUAUGGACUUGGCUCAUUAACCAUCAACUAAUAAAAAUUAAUUAUUUAAUAAAUACCCGUUAAAUAAAUAACCGUAGUUAAAUAAAUAGUUCAAAAUUCCCAACCAACUUCACAAACUGAUCAAAAGUGACUCAAGGCAACUACCGAGAUAGGUAAAACGGUAAUUUUGUAAAAAAAUCUAAAAAUGACUUUCCGGUUCAUUACAUUAUGAUAGACAUAAUACAUAAACAUGACCCUUAACUUGACUUGAGUGGACAACUAAUGCCCUCCAACUUUGAGUGUGCACAAGUAGACACUUAAACUUGUAUAACAUUAAACAAGUAGACACACGUGUCCUACAUGACAUAAUACAUGUAGGAUGACAUGUAGGACACAAAAUUACCAUGUAGGGUGCCAUGUAGGACGAAUGUGUCCAUUUGUUCAAUUUUAUACAAGUUUAAGUGUGUACUUGUGCACAUCCAAAGUUAAAAAUCAUAGUUGCCAGCUGACGUCAAGUUAAGGGUCAUGUAUAAGUAUUAUGUCAUUAUGAUACUUAAAAUGACAUUGGAUUUGAAUUCGUAUAUAUAACAAUGCUAUUUAUUUUAUAACUAUAUGGUAUUUGGUCUUAUUGAUCCAAUUAAUUCAAAUAUAUGUCACGUAGGAUCAUAUGCAAAUAGCAUAUUUACUGGAGGUAGGCUUAAGAAUCCAUCAACGAGAGAUGUAUCUAAUAAAUUGGAAUUAUCAAAUUGGUUUAGGGUUCCCCAAAACCUUUGGCAUUGGAGAAGCCAUUGCAUUCCCUAGUUUGACAUUUCCCCUGGCUUGAUUUAUCGAAAUUGAGUUUGAUAAUCCUAACUAUGAAAACAACACGAUGAACCUUUGUUUUCUUGUGAUUCUCAAGACCUACAAUUUGUUUGUAUUUGUUUCUAAUAUGAUAGGUGAAUAAGGAUGACCUGAGCAAAAGGUUCAGGUCCAAAGACACACGACUGGAUAAGAGAGUGGCGAGCGAAAUGGAAGGGAGGUGAGGGCGCGGGAUUUGUCUAUGUAACCUAGAUACAUGCGAAUCCACUUGGAUAGAGUAUAUCUAGAAUAAAUUAUGCCUAAUUUUGAGGAUACAUGUAUCUGGACAUACCAAAAUCUGGUAAGAUUCUAAUAUUACAAUAUAACAUGCAUUUAAGUAAUUAGCUCAUACACUAGUGAGAUUUCUGUAAGUUACCCUUAAAUACAUAAUUUUGGUCCAUGGGUUGACCCCAGCUCGGCCUAGAUCAAGCCUCAAAGGCCAAGGGCUUAUAUGAGUCGUGCUUAUAAGCCCUAGUUUUAAAUGAGCUUGAAAAAUUAUAUCCCAACCCUACCCCAAUAACAGAUUGGAUUGGGCUGACCCCAUGGGCUAAGCCCAUUUUGACAGCUCUACACACAACUCAGACCUAAAAUUCUUGUGAUUAGAGGUGAUGAAAUCAGUUAAUGAAAUCAUAAUUUGUCAAACAUGUUAAGUUUUAGACUAACUAUUGAUUAAGAAGGCAAGGUAAGUUAGGUUAACAUGUCAAAAUGAUUCACUAAUUCAUAAAUAAUUUAUUCUUAUAAUUUAUCAUUACCCGUAAAUCAUAAUUAAGAAAAGAAAGAGUUGAGUUUUACUUUUUCCAGAAAUUCUACCUUUUAGUUUAAAUUAGGCAUCUAAUUUUUAUUAUUUGAACAUGUAAUAAUUACUUUUCUCUUUUCUUGUGGAUAUGAUUAAUUAACUCGUGCUUUGUUUCUUGAUGCCCUAAAUAUUAAACAGAAAAUUUAAUGUACAUAAUAUUUAAAGUAACCUAGUUAAUAUGUUAGGGAAAAUGCACAAGUACCUCCCAACCUAUCCCCGAAAUUCCAAAGACACACUUAUACUAUACUAAGGUCCUAUUACCCCCUGAACUUAUUUUAUAAAUAAUUUUCUACCCCUUUUCGGCAUACGUGGCACUAUCAACUGAAAAAAUUGUCAACACGCGCUGGGCCCAGAAGAUAGUGUCACGUAGGCCGAAAAGGGGUAGAAAAUUAUUUAUAAAAUAAGUUCAGGGGGUAAUAGGACCUUAGUAUAGUAUAAGUGUGUCUCUGAGAUUUCGGGCAUAGGUUAGGGGGUACUUAUGCAUUUUCCCAAUAUGUUACUUUAAAGAUUACUUUCAACACUUUCUUUGUAGCCAAAUGAAUCUUAUAAAGUGGAAUUUAGGUGAGAGUUUGAAACCUAAAAAAUAAAAAGUAAUCAAAACAACAUAGAUAAUUAAAGUUGACAAAAUCUAAAUAUAGCACAUUUAUUUAAUGUAUCAUAUAAGUUUUAUUUUCGGAUCCAGCUUAAUAAUCAUGAUCUACAAACUUAUAUAUCGCAUUAAAUAAGUGUGAUAUAUGGGGAAAUAAAACAAACUCUUAAUAGUUACAUUUUUUCUUUUGCAAUUUAGGUUUAUACCUAUAUUAAUACCUUAAGUAUUACUUAUUUUUAUCAAUUGUGUAUUCUUUGGAAUUCUAAAAUAUUGAUUUGAGAAAGAGAAAUAUUUUAAGUAAAGAGCAGGACAAUAUAACUCAGGUUCGAUUUUAUCUUUUUAUUAGACUAAAAUUCCAUCAAUAAAUGUUGUAUUUUUUUUUAGAAUAACUUUGUGAUAGUGUAUCCUUUUUUUUAUGAACUUUUGCUUAUUUGAUAAUUAAAUUGCAUAAAGAAUUUGGAUAAUUUGAUAGUUACAACUUUUGGGAUUUUUAUGUUUAUAAGCAAAAAAAUAUAACUUAGAAAUCCAAAUUGUAUGUCCGAACAAAACAUCAUUCGUAUAAUAAUGAUUUCAUCUCAUGUGACUAAAUGGACCCUAAAAAUAUGAAGAUGUUCCUUUUUUUUUUUGGCCCUAGUUCUUACAUUUUAGUACUCAAAUUUCUUAUUCUUUGCUUAGUGAAGAAUUUCCAAGUCAAUGAAAUUAGGAGGCCUAAUAAAAAUUAGCCACGCAAAACAAUUGCCAAUUUGGCACGAAAUGGACGAUAGAGAUGGACUUUCCAAUCACAAUAAAAUAGUAUUUUUGCUCUCAUAGUUAUUACUAGUUAACUGUAAUUUUGAUAGUUUUUAUAUAUUAUAUAUAUAAACCUUUAUAUAGUAAUAUGUAAGGUUUAUAUUAACACUAGACUUGUAUUACUCCAUUUGUUUAAUUUUACUUAUCAUUAUUUGAAUUAACAUAUCUAUUAAGAAAAUAAUUAUUGAUAUACUAUGUAUUUUACCACACUAUCAAUAUUAAUUAAUGUCUAAUAUUGGUCUUGAAAUAGUGACAAAUAAAAAAAAAAAAAAUUUAAAAAUAAAAUAACAAGUAAAAGUGAACAAAGUAAGUAUCAAGUUAUAUUUGUGCUCACCCAUUAUAAUAUUUUUUUCAAAUUAUCAAGCCUAUAAAAGUUCAAUUAUAGUGACGGCUUGACUUACAAGUCAAGAGGCAAGAUUUUUGAAGAGAUGAAUCAAACAAAUAGAUUUGCGUAUAUGACACGGAACAAUAAUAGAGAUUUUUUUUUCUUUUGUACUUUUUGUUCCUUUUAAGGAGUAGUUUUUAUCUGUGAGAUAUUUAGUCUUAAAUUAGUUAGGAUGUACGUUUUUUAAAAUCACUUUCACACAACAAUUACGAUACUCCUUCAUUUCAUAUUAAUUAAAUUAUUGAGAUAUUUUUUAUUUUUCAAAUUAACUUAAUUGUUCAAUUUUCAAGAUUACUUUUAGAAUGUUUUUCCAAUUUUACCCUUCAUUAGUUAGUGUUGGAAUUAAUUAUUAAUUAAUGUUUAGUUAUUUUAAUAAUAAUUAAUAAGGGUAAAAAUGGAAAGUUAAGCCUAAUUUAUGUCUUAAUCUUCUUUUCUUAAAGGGUGUGAAACAUCUCAAUAAUUCAAUUAAUAUGAAAUGGAGGGAGUAUGUUUUAUUUAGAUUAUUUUUUGACUUAUACUGCCUUUAAUUAUGAAGUGAUAAUGCAUAGUUUAGUAAACGGUUUAACAAUUAAUAAUUCAUCAAUUUUGUGAAGAUUCACAAGCAAAAUAAUUAAUAUUUCAUAUUUUAAUUAAUUGAAGAUUAAAUACAAAUUACUACUCUCUCUGUUUAAGGACAUCUCAAAAUAAUAUAGUGGACAACUAUUAUUGGACGAAAGAAAUAGAUAAUGCGAGGACCAGUAUUAAAAUAAAAUUUUCAAUAAUUCGGAGACUUAAAACCACUAAUUUUCCACAAGAGAAUUUCUGUUAAACUCAUCACAUUUGAAAGUGUCUUCAAAUAAACACAUUCUCAAAUUGAACAUACACACACAUAAAAGUAAUAUGCAUUUCCUCAAGUUUUCCCCCCUUUUUGUCUUCCUUUACUUUUUAUCUGUUACUCAUGCUGCCACUUUUGACAUUACCAAUCGAUGCACCUACCCGGUCUGGGCCGCUGCCUCUCCUGGGGGAGGCAGACGACUCGACUUGGGCCAAACUUGGAACAUUAAUGUGAAUCCAGGAACAACCAUGGGUCGCAUUUGGGGUAGAACCAAUUGUAACUUUGAUGGUAGUGGUCGAGGCAAAUGCCAGACUGGAGAUUGUAAUGGGCGGCUAGAAUGUCAAGGUUUUGG
rnacentral:lncRNA from 1 species